rnacentral:lncRNA from 1 species
UUUGUGAAAGCUUCCAUUCUUUAAUUAACAGUAUCAUGCUUCAAAAAAAAGAUUUCAUUUAUUUUUUUUUUAGGUAAUCUCUACACCCAACGUGGGGCUCGAACUCACAGCCCUGAGGAUAAGAGUCGCGUGUUCUACUGACUAAGCCAGCCAGACUCCCCAACAGUAUCAUGCUUUUCCUAAGCAGUAUCAGCACUUUUCCUAAGAGGGUGGCAGGGUGGAGGGACAGCUGGUCUGUGGCUUUGGCAAAAGUUAAAUACAGAGAAUCAGUGAGAAGGAAGAGAGAUUAGCCUCCCUCAGGAGAAGGGGUCCCCAUCUUACCUCACAGGUUGGCCAGGGCCUGGACUUGUGUAUGAUAAGCAAGAGCCUGCCUGGACCCAC